rnacentral:lncRNA from 1 species
UAUUGUUUAUAAAGAGAUGAAGAAACCAUUUCUCAUAUAUGGAUACUUCAUUAGUUUUGAGAAUUAUUGAAGAAAAUUUUGUUUUUUGGGUUUCGAAGAGGUUGAGGGCAUCAUGGACUUAUGUGCAGCUGCAAAUUCUGAAAUGGGAUUUGGAAGGCCUUGACCCUAGUUAUGUUAUUCCAGAGAAACUCUACAGUUUUUAGUGAGGUUAGAAUAUGUACUCCGUAUUAUUUUAUGUUUUCUUAAAUCACUCAAUUCUUCUUUUUCUUUUUUAUAUCAAUUGUAACCGUCUGUCUGCUACUGCUUCCAAUUAUUUUCAUUAUUCUCAUUUGUUUUCGUAAUCCAUAUAAUUUUAUUUUUUAUUUACCUGACAAUGUUUUAAUAUUGCGUUUGUUAUCAAUACCAACGAGAUAUAUAAUUUUAGAUGGCAAACUCGAGUAGCAAAUCAUGUGAAUUCCAACUUAUUCAAAGUUAUGAUAUUUGAAAACGAUAUUUGAUAUUAUAUAUAAUAACUAAGACUCAAAUCCAUAUACAUUAUAAAAUUAUUAAAUUAAAUUAAUAGAAAUGUGCCACUGUAUAUAAUUUGAUAAUAUGCACCACCUAACUAAUCAGACUCGUCAAAUAUAAUCUCACACGGAUUUUAUGUAAAAAAAAAAAAAUCAAUCUUAUAUAGUAUAUAAGAAUGCGAAAAACAAACCAAAUGUAUAUCCAUACUAACUACACACAUAAAACGAGAAAUGCAUAUAUUGCUUCAAGAAAAUAAAGGGACAAAAAAGAAGAGAAAUACAUAUACACGCG